UUUCCGUAGGUGAACCUGCGGAAGGAUCAUUAUCCAUCUAAAACCAGGUGCGGUCGCGGCCUCCGGGUGAAAGCCUGGGUGGUUUCGCGCUGCAUUCCUGCACCCUUUUUUUACGAGCACCUUUGUUCUCCUUCGGCGGGGCAACCUGCCGUUGGAACCGAAUAAACUCUUUUUGCAUCUAGCAUUACCUGUUCCGAAACAAACAAUCGUUACAACUUUCAACAAUGGAUCUCUUGGCUCUGGCAUCGAUGAAGAACGCAGC
rnacentral:misc_RNA from 1 species